GAGCCCCCUAACGGAAUCGAACCGUUGACCUUUUCC
rnacentral:sRNA from 1 species